rnacentral:rRNA from 1 species
UACGUAGGGACCGAGCGUUGUCCGGAAUCAUUGGGCGUAAAGAGCGUGUAGGCGGCCCGUUAAGUCCUGCGUGAAAUCUUGCGGCUCGACCGCAAGCGGUCGUGGGAAACUGGGUGGCUAGAGUGCGGGAGAGGAGAGUGGAAUUCCUGGUGUAGCGGUGGAAUGCGCAGAUAUCAGGAAGAACACCCGUGGCGAAGGCGGCUCGCUGGAACGCAACUGACGCUGAGACGCGAAAGCGUGGGGAGCAAACAGG